GUCUAGAGCCUUGAUUCUUCCUGGAUUUCCUCCACGAUGGUGAAUCUUCUCCCUUUCAGUUCCAAUUUUAGUUUCCCCAACCUCAUUUACAAGGAAAGCAGAGUGUCAGAGAGCUGAACUGUGCUGGGCAGGGCCUGCAUGAGGAUAAAGUGGAUUGGAUGAAAAAUGUCGAGUACAUGGCUGUGGCUCUUAGCUCGGAUGAUGAACUGAGGCACUCGCUAUCCAUGGAGAGUUGCAAUGGAGAGAGCAAGGAUUUAAUGGAGGCAGUAAAAGAGGGCAGGAGAGCUCAGAGUCCUGCUAAUGAAUCAGAAGAAAAGAGGAGAAAGAGAGA